UGCAGGGAGCUCAAGGAGCUGGAGCCUUUGAACCGGGUUUAACAGCAAUGAAGCCAGAUUUUCUUCUGUUCUGCGGCUGUGUUAGCCUCUGUGAUCUCUGAAUAAAUCAAAGAAUUUUUCCUCAAGAAGGAAGCCUUCCACGGCUGGUUUCUUGGGAGCCUUGAAUGCUGUGCUUUGGCAGGGAAGAGCAAUGAAGAUGAAGAGGACACAAAUAUGGAAAAUAGAAGUAUCUUUCAGAAACCCAAGUUCUGGAGAAGGAGCAUCUCAGAAGUGAAAAAGAUAUGAGCUGGUGGUUUGCAGGCAAGAUGUAGUAGAUGGACAUGGGGACAAAGGAAGCAAGGAUGCCAGCAAGAGAGAGACUGAAGGAUGAGACACACCAAGGAAUUUCAUCAGGAAGGAUAAAGAAAUGAAACCAUGAAGGGGCUAACAGCUUGGGAGAAGAGUUGGGGAGUAAGUGACUGGAGAUUACACAAAGAGAGAAAGCAGGUGGGAUUUCAUGUCCACAUUAAAGGAAAUGUGAAAAGUUUUAUUGAUACAACUGACAUACAAAAAGAUAAAAAUUAAACUUAAG